rnacentral:rRNA from 12 species
AACUUUCAGCAACGGAUGUCUUGGCUCCCACAACGAUGAAGAACGCAGCGAAAUGCGAUACGUAAUGCGAAUUGCAGAAUCCAGUGAAUCAUCAAAAUUUUGAACGCAUGUUGCACUUCCUGCCUUGUGUAUGGGAGUAUGCCUGUUGGAGUGUC